CCUAGCUUUCCCUGCAGUAUGAUAUAGUCCUUAAACACUCUGGUGGUUCUUAUAUUGUAUUUAUAGAAAAGAUCCCACUCAGUACGAAUGAGCUUAAGUGAAAGGGCGGAUUAGCUAAAGUGAGGAGCCAAUUGUCCAGUAUGGAAAGACGGACAGGCCCUGGGUCCAAAGUUCUCCAAUCUUUUUGAAGUUGGUGUGGAAGUUUGGAUAACCUCCCAAGCUCACCUUGCUGCUUUUGUAAUUACUGUUAACACUGGAGCUAAGUAAUCCAAAGAAGUGAUCGCAUUGGUGGUCAGAAAGAAAUUGAAUAGGAAGACACCAAACCACCAAUAUUAACAAGUGUGGAGAACGCGCAGUCGGCGGUUGGGGGCAUCUCGAGGAACUAACAAGUUUUACCCGAAGCGAUCUGUGUGAGUGCAGAACCCCAUUAUUUAUGGUUGUCACUGGAUCACUAUCCAGAUCCUCUCUUAUUCCAGAACUAUCAAAGCCAUGCUUUUAAUUCUUGUCGAUGUGAUGCUAUUACAAAGCCAACAAAGCUUACAAUUUUGCAUCCUGUAACAGACAGCAUAAAAAUGCAAAAGCUUCCAUUGUUAGAACUAUGCUAAGAAUUAAAACCCAAAAGACAUGCACAUAGCAUUUUAUUCACUCGUGCACAUAUUAACAAGUACUACAGUUUCAUGCUGUUACUAGAUCCGAGCUAUCAUUUUGAAAUAUUUACUUCAGCUAUCUACCUGUGCAAAUUUCUUCUUCAUUUCAUCAAAGAUACUUUGUCUGCAUCUCCAAAGCAUAUCCUACGAUAUAUAAAUACAAAAUUGUAAAAUGAUACUACCUUGAAGUAGAGAACCACCUUCAAAAAUUUUCUCUUUAUAAAGCAUUGCUUUUUAAAUCCUUACAUAUGCCAAGAUCCAAUCUGAAAUGUUUUCCUGUACAAUAGCACACACUGGGAAAAACAACACCUCUGAAGCUGGAGAAAUUUACAGAAAAUCUAGCUGGUUGCAGGCAAUGAAGAUUUAGAUGAACCAAGAACAUUAACUAACCCAAUAUAAAUCCAAUGUCAUGCAGCAUUGAUGUCCCCCACACUUCUAGAAUUCAAGAAAAAGAAGCAGCAAGGAAACGCUCUUUUUAAUGACUAUUUUUGCACAGCUUUCAAAGGAGAAAUCAAGAGUUCUUCACACUGAAACAAGGAUGAUUAGACAGUGGACAAUAGAGAACAUAAAAAUCAGAUAAAGCUAUUAACA